AACCGCCGUGUACGGGUCCGUAUGCACGGUGGUGUGAGAGGUCGGGGAUUAUUUAUCCCCUCUUACUCGAU
rnacentral:misc_RNA from 1 species